rnacentral:rRNA from 1 species
UACGGAGGGUGCAAGCGUUAUCCGGAUUCACUGGGUUUAAAGGGUGCGUAGGUGGGUUGGUAAGUCAGUGGUGAGAUCCCCGAGCUUAACUUGGGAACUGCCAUUGAUACUAUCAGUCUUGAAUACCGUGGAGGCUAGCGGAAUAUGUCAUGUAGCGGUGAAAUGCUUAGAUAUGACAUAGAACACCAAAUUGCGAAGGCAGCUGGCUACACGAAUAUUGACACUGAGGCACGAAAGCGUGGGGAUCAAAACAGG